AGGGCAAACCCCACCCGGAGCAAGGCCGCAUAGGGGGGCUAAGGGUGCCCGUCCCGUCCCCGGGUUGGCUGCUAGAGGCUUCGAGUAAUCGGAGUCCCAGAUAGAUGAUCACCGUCCCGGCUAUGUCGGGAUACAGGACUCGGCUUACAGGCCUACCUAUCAA
rnacentral:RNase_P_RNA from 1 species